GGGCGGUUGGCGCAGCGGUAGCGCGCUUCCCUGACACGGAAGAGGUCACUGGUUCGAUCCCAGUACCGCCCA
rnacentral:tRNA from 1 species